UUGCAAUGAUGAAGUGAUUGAGUGACUUGAUAUCACUUUGGUGUUGAUCGAGGAAUGAUCUGCUAAUCUUCUCUCUGAGCAA